rnacentral:misc_RNA from 1 species
GAUGAAGAACGUAGCGAAAUGCGAUAAGUAAUGUGAAUUGCAGAAUUCAGUGAAUCAUCGAGUUUUUGAACGCAUAUUGCGCCCCCUGGUAUUCCGGGGGGCAUGCCUGUUCGAGCGUCAUUAAAUAACCCUCAAGCAUAGCUUGGUGUUGGGCUUUUUUACGUCCUUGACUGGGAUGGGCCUAAAAAUUAGUGGCGAUGGCUUUUUUACUUUCAAGCGUAGUAAAUCUCGUCUUGCUAAAGAGGAAAAAGAUUUUUUUUCUGCCAAAAAUUUUAACAUUUAAAGUUGACCUCGGAUCAGGUAGGAUUACCCGCUGAACUUAAGCAUAUCAAUAAGCGGAGGA